GAUGAACGCUGGCGGCGUGCUUAACACAUGCAAGUCGAACGGGAAUUACUUUAUUGAAACUUCGGUCGAUUUAAUUUAAUUCUAGUGGCGGACGGGUGAGUAACGCGUGGGUAACCUGCCUUAUACAGGGGGAUAACAGUCAGAAAUGGCUGCUAAUACCGCAUAAGCGCACAGAGCUGCAUGGCUCAGUGUGAAAAACUCCGGUGGUAUAAGAUGGACCCGCGUUGGAUUAGCUUGUUGGUGGGGUAACGGCCCACCAAGGCGACGAUCCAUAGCCGGCCUGAGAGGGUGAACGGCCACAUUGGGACUGAGACACGGCCCAGACUCCUACGGGAGGCAGCAGUGGGGAAUAUUGCACAAUGGGGGAAACCCUGAUGCAGCGACGCCGCGUGAAGGAAGAAGUAUCUCGGUAUGUAAACUUCUAUCAGCAGGGAAGAUAGUGACGGUACCUGACUAAGAAGCCCCGGCUAACUACGUGCCAGCAGCCGCGGUAAUACGUAGGGGGCAAGCGUUAUCCGGAUUUACUGGGUGUAAAGGGAGCGUAGACGGUGUGGCAAGUCUGAUGUGAAAGGCAUGGGCUCAACCUGUGGACUGCAUUGGAAACUGUCAUACUUGAGUGCCGGAGGGGUAAGCGGAAUUCCUAGUGUAGCGGUGAAAUGCGUAGAUAUUAGGAGGAACACCAGUGGCGAAGGCGGCUUACUGGACGGUAACUGACGUUGAGGCUCGAAAGCGUGGGGAGCAAACAAGAUCAGAUACCCUGGUAGUCCACGCCGUAAACGAUGAUUAAUAGUGGUUGGGGGGCGGAGCCAUUCGGUGCCGUCGCAAAGGCAGUAAGUAUUUCACCUGGAGGGGGCGGGCGCAAGAAGGAAAAUCAAAGGAAUUGACGGGGACCCGCACAAGCGGCGGAGCAUGUGCUUUAAUUUGAAGCAACGUGAAGAGCGUUAUCACAUCUUGACAUCCCUCUGAGCGGUCUUUCAUCGGACCUUGUUUUUGGAGCAGAGGUGACAGGAGGGGCAGGGUGGUGGUCAUCUCGUGUCGUGAGAGGGGGGGAGAAGUCCGUCAACGAGCGCCACCCCUAUCCCCAGUAGCCGGCACAUAAAGUGGGCAGUCUGGGGAGAUUUCCAGGGAUGAAAGGAGGCAAGGAGGGGAAGGCGUCAAAUCAUAGUGCGCUCUCUCAUUUGGGACACCCGCCUGCUCCAAUGGUGUAUACAAAGGGAAGCGAGAUCGUGAGAGGGAGCGAAUACCAAAAAUAAACUCCCAGCUCGGAUGGUCGUGUGCAACCCGACUACACGAAGCGGGAAUCGAUAGUAAUCGCGGAUCAGAACAACGCGGGGAAU
rnacentral:rRNA from 1 species